rnacentral:rRNA from 1 species
UACGGAGGGUGCAAGCGUUAUCCGGAUUCACUGGGUUUAAAGGGUGUGUAGGCGGGUAUUUAAGUCAGUGGUGAAAUCUCUGAGCUCAACUCAGAAACUGCCAUUGAUACUAUUUAUCUUGAAUAUCGUUGAGGUUGGCGGAAUAUAUCAUGUAGCGGUGAAAUGCAUAGAUAUGAUAUAGAACACCGAUUGCGAAGGCAGCUAACUAAGCGAUGAUUGACGCUGAGGCACGAAAGCGUGGGGAGCAAACAGG